ensembl:snRNA U1 U1 spliceosomal RNA
AUACCUACCUGGUAGUAGAGAUGCAUUACUCAAGAAGGUUGUUCCCAGGAUGAGGAUUUGUCACUGGGCUUUGGUCUAUCAGACUUCUGUGAAGUCUUAAAUGUGCCUAAUUUCUGGUAGUGGGUGACUGUGUUUAUGCUCUCCCCUU